UAUAUACGGCUGUGAUUAUAAUCGAAGAGAAUUCUCACAGGUAGACUUUGGGUGUAUCUGAGUGUAUGUACAUAAUUUCGUCAGUCAUUUCAUAAAGAUUCCAUUUAUUGAAGUUCGUUUUUACAUGUUCUUGGUUUAGUGUAAAAUGUUUGAGCUGGUAAAUAGCCUCGUCCCGAACCAUCCUGUUCUCGCGAGUUUACAUACACUGUUUCGUUAAUGUAAGCUCGCGAGAUCUGGAUGAUUUGGACGAGGCAAGUCAAAUGGCGGCUUCAACGGUUUCGGUCGUCUUUCUUGGAGUUUGCUCGUGGUGAAAUGGCGACAUGAGGCUGUGUGAUGAAGUGUCAAAAUAGAGGGAAGCUAACUGAAGUUAUCCUUCACCAGUUGGAGAGAGAGGCCAACUGCAUGGAAUGGCGUCGAUUAAUGCGAAUGAAUCGGUUCAGACCGACUCAGAUUCAGUCUGAGGCCGGUAACAUCAACAGUGAGGACAAUCCCAGCCUGCCACUCUUCCUUCCACACUGAGUAGAAACCUACAGUCACUGGGUCCUGAUUGUGACAGUGGAGCCCAGUUUGCACUGCAGGAUCCAGAGAUGGCAUCAGUGAAGCUAGAAGACUGCAGUCAAACACUGGAGCUGAAUGUCAACAUUAAAGAUGAAGAAGAGGAGGAGAAGAUUGGGACAACUGUUAGUCAUGGAUACCACGUUGAGACAUUCUCUACACCCAGAGACCAACAGCAGGAAGAUCAGAGAGCUAAGAGGUCUCAUCACUGCCCACAUUGUGAAGAGAUUUUCCCAUUUCUAUCAAAGCUAAAAAUACACCUAAAAAUACACACAGGGGAGAAGCCUUACUCCUGCUCUGACUGUGGAGCAAGUUUAUCUCAAAUGAGCAGCUUAAAAGCACACAAACAAGUACAUACUGGAGAGAAGCCUUACUCCUGCUCUGACUGUGGGGUGAGUUUCUCUCGACUGGAUACCUUAAAAACACACCAACGUAUCCAUACAGGAGAAAAGCCUUACUCCUGUUCUGACUGUUUAAAAUGCUUCAAAACAUCAACGGUGCUAAAACUUCACCAGAGAACACACACAGGAGAGAAGCCUUUCAUCUGCUCUGACUGUGGGGUGAGUUUCUCUCGACGGGAUACCUUAAAAACACACCAACGUAUCCAUACAGGAGAAAAGCCUUACUACUGCCCUGACUGUGGGGAGAGAUUCUCUCAACUGAGCAGCUUAAAAGCACACAAACAAGUACAUACUGGAGAGAAGCCUUACUCCUGCUCUGAAAGUGGGGCAAGUUUUUCUCGACUGGAUACCUUAACACACCAACGUAUCCAUACAGGAGAAAAGCCUUACUCCUGUUCUGACUGUGGGGAGAGAUUCUCUCAACUGAGCAGCUUAAAAGCACACAAACAAGUACACACUGGAGAGAAGCCUUACUCCU